UGCCCACAACGGCUUCCUGGCGUGGGUCACCUGUAUUCCAAUGGAGCG
rnacentral:ncRNA from 1 species